UCUUGUGACCAGGAGUGGAGUCGUAGCGUGCUAGUAAUAAAGCCUCUUAUAUUUUACAGCAAGAACUGACUCUUGUGAUUGAUUGUGGUUGCCGUGACUUUCUUUGGACUGAAGGGUCACCGGCUAUUUAAGUUGGGGGGUCUUUCAUCUUGGGGGCUCAUCCGGGAUGUCAUGGUCACCCCACUCUCACAACAUCGGCCUUGGAGAUGGCAAUGACAAAGGGAUCAGAGAGGAAUUGAAGAUCUUCCGAGGGGUGGUUUCGAACCCAGUUCCUGGUACCAGCACAGUGGGCCCUCUGAGCCCCCUCUGGCUCCAAGCUUCUCCUUGGGGGAGAUUCGUGAGCACCUGGGGGAUGAAGACAUAAAGGAUCAUGGACUGCGACCAGGUGAUUUGUAUAUUGGAAGCGGCACCAACUGAAGGACUCCCUACAACCCCAAUGGAAAGGACCCUAUCAGGUACUCUUGACAAAUUCAUGUGCUGCAAAGGUAAAAGGAGUCCCCUCAUGGAUCCAUGUUACACACCUAAAACGAGCACCUGACCCAGUCCCUAUCUCGAUUCACUCCUGGACCUCUGAACCCAUCUCUGAUAUUCGUCUUCGACUUCGAAAGACCCCAGAGACACCCUCCAGAGAGACCUGACUAAGAUUCUUUUGUUCUCUUUCCUUUUUCUUUAAAAAAAAAAAUUCUUUUUUUUUCUUCUUUUCUUGAGA